UACGUAGGGUGCAGGCGUUAAUCGGAAUUACUGGGCGUAAAGCGUGCGCAGGCGGUUUGCUAAGACAGGUGUGAAAUCCCCGGGCUUAACCUGGGAACUGCGCUUGUAACUGGCAAGCUAGAGUGUGGCAGAGGGGGGUGGAAUUCCACGUGUAGCAGUGAAAUGCGUAGAUAUUGGGAGGAACACCGGUGGCGAAGGCGGCCCCCUGGACCGGUACUGACGCUGAGGCGCGAAAGCGUGGGUAGCAAACGGG
rnacentral:rRNA from 1 species